rnacentral:rRNA from 1 species
AAUCAACGCUGGCGGCGCGCUUAACACAUGCAAGUCGAGCGAGAAAGGGGCUUCGGCCCUGAGUAAAGCGGCGGACGGGUGCGUAACACGUGGGUAAUGUGCCCUUCAGCGGGGGACAACAGUCCGAAAGGAUUGCUAAUACCGCAUACGUCGGUUGAUGCUUCGGCAUCGACCGGGAAAGGUGGCCUCUUCAUGAAAGCUACCACUGAAGGAGCAGCCCGCGGCCCAUCAGCUAGUUGGCGGGGUAAUGGCCCACCAAGGCUAAGACGGGUAGCUGGUCUGAGCGGAUGAUCAGCCACACUGGAACUGAGAC